rnacentral:misc_RNA from 1 species
AACGCACAUUGCGCCCUCUGGUAUUCCGGGGGGCAUGCCUAUCCGAGCGUCAUUGCUGCCCUCAAGCACGGCUUGUGUGUUGGGCCCCCGUCCCGGUUCUCCAAGCCGGGACGGGCCCGAAAGGCAGCGGCGGCACCGUGUCCGGUCCUCGAGUGUAUGGGGCUCUGUCACUCACUCGUGUAGGUCCGGCCGGCGGCCAGCCUCUUCAACCAUUUUUUAACCAGGUUGACCUCGGAUCAGGUAGGGAUACCCGCUGAACUUAA